ACACUAAAAACUGAAAAGGAAUUAGCCUAAUUCAAUCGGUAACCACCGAUCAACUCAUCGUCCUCCUCUGUGACCAGGGAAAAGGGCAGACUGAUUUCACGCCUCCUUGCUGCUUGCUGAACGGAAUAAUUCGGAAUUUCUUCACCAAAGUUUACAUAUUCUAUGAGAUUGAAGACGUACCCUCUGAAUAAAAUGGCGGCCUUUCAGAUUAAUUGGGCAGGUUACUUGUAUAAGCGAUUUCUCAAGGACAAGCUGCUCAAGUAGUAUUUUUGUGUUUUAUUAGAAAUUGUAAUUUUCUCAAGGACAAGUGGCUCACGCAUUAGUUUUUAUGUUUUAUUAGAAAUUGUAGUUUAUGUAGAGUAGUUUUUUGAAUUGACAAAUAUUGAGUGACGGAGGAUUUCAUGUUUUAUGUUUAAUAUCUGUUUAUUUGGAA